rnacentral:rRNA from 1 species
GACGAACGCUGGCGGCGUGCUUAACACAUGCAAGUCGAACGAAGAGCGACGGAAGCUUGCUUCUAUCAAUCUUGGUGGCGAACGGGUGAGUAACGCGUAAUCAACCUGCCCUUCAGAGGGGGACAACAGUUGGAAACGACUGCUAAUACCGCAUACGAUCUAAUCUCGGCAUCGAGGAUGGAUGAAAGGUGGCCUCUACAUGUAAGCUAUCACUGAAGGAGGGGAUUGCGUCUGAUUAGCUAGUUGGAGGGGUAACGGCCCACCAAGGCGAUGAUCAGUAGCCGGUCUGAGAGGAUGAACGGCCACAUUGGGACUGAGACACGGCCCAGACUCCUACGGGAGGCAGCAGUGGGGAAUCUUCCGCAAUGGACGAAAGUCUGACGGAGCAACGCCGCGUGAGUGAUGACGGCCUUCGGGUUGUAAAGCUCUGUUAAUCGGGACGAAAGGCCUUCUUGCGAAUAGUGAGAAGGAUUGACGGUACCGGAAUAGAAAGCCACGGCUAACUACGUG